rnacentral:rRNA from 1 species
CCUACGGGAGGCUGCAGUGGGGAAUAUUGCGCAAUGGGGGAAACCCUGACGCAGCAACGCCGCGUGCGGGAUGAAGGCUUUCGGGUUGUAAACUGCUUUCAGCAGGGAAGAUAAUGACGGUAACUGCAGAAGAAGCCCCGGCUAACUCCGUGCCAGCAGCCGCGGUAAAACGUUGGGGGAAAGCGUUAUCCGGAUUCAUUGGGCGUAACGCGGGCGGAGGCGGGUCGCUAAGCGGGACCUCUAAUCUUGGGGCUCAACCUCAAGUCGGGUCCCGUACUGGCAGCCUCGAGUUCGAUAGGGGUAAGCGGAAUUCCCGGUGUAGCGGUGGAAUGCGCAGAUAUCGGGAAGAACACCGAUGGCGAAGGCAGCUUACUGGGCCGACACUGACGCUGAGGCGCGAAAGCUAGGGGAGCGAACAGGAUUAGAUACCCGAGUAGUC